AGGGUUUGAUCAUGCUCAGGACGAACGCUGGCGGCGUGCUUAACACAUGCAAGUCGAACGGAGCGCUUCAAACGGAGAUUUCGGUCAAAGAUUGGAGCUGCUUAGUGGCGGACUGGUGAGUAACGCGUGAGGAACCUGCCUUUCAGAGGGGGACAACAGUUGGAAACGACUGCUAAUACCGCAUGAUACAUUUUGAUCGCAUGAUUGAAAUGUCAAAGAUUUAUCGCUGAAAGAUGGCCUCGCGUCUGAUUAGCUAGUUGGCAGGGUAACGGCCUACCAAGGCGACGAUCAGUAGCCGGACUGAGAGGUUGACCGGCCACAUUGGGACUGAGAUACGGCCCAG
rnacentral:rRNA from 1 species